GUGGGGAAUAUUGGACAAUGGGGGGAACCCUGAUCCAGCCAUGCCGCGUGUGUGAAGAAGGCCUCUUGGUUGUAAAGCACUUUAAGCGAGGAGGAGGCUACCGAGAUUAAUACUCUUGGAUAGUGGACGUUACUCGCAGAAUAAGCACCGGCUAACUCUGUGCCAGCAGCCGCGGUAAUACAGAGGGUGCAAGCGUUAAUCGGAUUUACUGGGCGUAAAGCGCGCGUAGGUGGCCAAUUAAGUCAAAUGUGAAAUCCCCGAGCUUAACUUGGGAAUUGCAGUCGAUACUGGUUGGCUAGAGUAUGGGAGAGGAUGGUAGAAUUCCAGGUGUAGCGGUGAAAUGCGUAGAGAUCUGGAGGAAUACCGAUGGCGAAGGCAGCCAUCUGGCCUAAUACUGACACUGAGGUGCGAAAGCAUGGGGAGCAAACAGGAUUAGAUACCCUAGUAGUCC
rnacentral:rRNA from 1 species